GAUGAACGCUGGCGGCGUGCCUAAUACAUGCAAGUCGAGCGAACGGACGAGAAGCUUGCUUUUCUGAUGUUAGCGGCGGACGGGUGAGUAACACGUGGAUAACCUACCUAUAAGACUGGGAUAACUUCGGGAAACCGGAGCUAAUACCGGAUAAUAUUUUGAACCGCAUGGUUCAAAAGUGAAAGACGGUCUUGCUGUCACUUAUAGAUGGAUCCGCGCUGCAUUAGCUAGUUGGUAAGGUAACGGCUUACCAAGGCAACGAUGCAUAGCCGACCUGAGAGGGUGAUAGGCCACACUGGAACUGAGACACGGUCCAGACUCCUACGGGAGGCAGCAGUAGGGAAUCUUCCGCAAUGGGCGAAAGCCUGACGGAGCAACGCCGCGUGAGUGAUGAAGGUCUUCGGAUCGUAAAACUCUGUUAUUAGGGAAGAACAUAUGUGUAAGUAACUGUGCACAUCUUGACGGUACCUAAUCAGAAAGCCACGGCUAACUACGUG
rnacentral:rRNA from 1 species